rnacentral:rRNA from 1 species
AGCGUAGGCGGACACUUAAGUCAGGGGUGAAAUCCCGGGGCUCAACCUCGGAAUUGCCUUUGAUACUGGGUGUCUUGAGUAUGAGAGAGGUGUGUGGAACUCCGAGUGUAGAGGUGAAAUUCGUAGAUAUUCGGAAGAACACCAGUGGCGAAGGCGACACACUGGCUCAUUACUGACGCUGAGGCUCGAAAGCGUGGGGAGCAAACA